rnacentral:lncRNA from 1 species
GCUUCGCUUGGAGUUUCUUUCUCUGGUUUCCUACGAUACUCCUAAGCGAAGGAUCACCAUAAUCAUGAUGCUCUUCAUGACGGCGUCGUGGAUUCGGCGUAUUUGACGGCGGUUCGUGGAUUCGGAUCGUGAGCUCGUGGAUUCGAGUGGCGUCGUGGAUUCGGCGUGAUUGGAGCUUCGUGGAUUCGAAGUGGGGAGCGUUCGUGGAUUCGGACGUGAGGGCGUGGACAACCCAGAGGAUUGCGCGAGAUCCAUAGGAGGUCAAGAGAGGUUGAGUCCGUGGAGUCGGUAAAUCACCUUGUAAUCUUUUCUCUUAGUGGAUUGUUUUUUUUCGCGUGUUGGUCCCGUGGGUUUUUCUCCAAAUUGGAGUUUUCCCACGUAAAUCUCGGUGUGCUUUUUAUUUUCCGCAUUUAUUUUUAUUGCAUCGAGAUUUGUGGUUUUUGGUCGUUACACCUAUUCACCCCCCUCUAGGUGAUAGAUACAAU